AUGCCGACAAGCACCCCUUUGAACACAAGCACUGGCAACACUCGGGUAAAUGGGACUGCCGCCGAUACUGAAGUGAAUGAUGAAACUGACAACGACACACAAGGGGAUGAAGAUGGUGGGCAAUCAGAGAUCGUGGUACCUCAGCCACCGUACAUUGGGCAGAGAUUUGAAUCGUUCGAAGCAGCAAAGGAAUACUACCAGACAUAUGCAAAGUUCCAUGGAUUUGCGGUCAACACUGAGUACCAUAGGAAAAUUAAGAAAACUAACGAGUACAGCAGAGGUGAGAUGAGGUGCCACAAGGCACGGAGGAACAAGAAGGGGAAAAGUGUUGCACCUGUCGUUCCAGAACGAAAGAGAGGUAUCAUUCUCAAGACUGAGUGCCCUGUCCGGUGUAAGCUAAACGUAGAUGGAGCACAGUGGGUGGUCAAUGAAUAUUUUGACGAGCACAACCACCAACUCAUAAAGAAGUUCGACCUUGUGAAAUUUCUGACCGCCCACAGAGGGUUCACCCCCGUCGAAAGGCAAUUCGUAAAGCUACUACAUGAUUGUAACGUCGGUCCAUCAAGAAUGGUACAGAUACUGUCUCUCAUCCACAGCAAAAAGGGGACUCUGAGUAGCAUGCCGUACAUACCGGCUGACGUCACAAACCUAUAGGCCAGGUACCGUAGAGAGAGCAAGUUGGCAGACAUAGAGGCCACAAUUGCCUACUUCGAUGAGAAAGCCAAGGAAGAUCCAGAUUUCUUCUACAAGAUAAGGUUGGACGAUGAGGACCGUGUCAGGAACAUGUAUUGGAUGCCAUGCGCUCCGUUCAUAGGAAUAAAUAACCACAAUCAGUCGUUGCAGUUCGGCUGCGGGCUCGUCCGGAAUGAAGACACGGAUGGGUACGUUUGGCUGUUCAAGACCUUCUUGGAGUGCAUGGAUGGUCUUGCUCCGAUGAACAUAAUAACGGACCAGGAUUUCAGCAUGCGUGCAGGCAUAGAGCAGGCUGAGGAGACGCUAGGACCGUUCUUUGCUGACCGUCCAGAUCUGCACAAGGAAUUCGAGCUGUGCGUGGACCAUAGCUUGAUGGUGGAGGAGUUUGAAAGGAGCUGGAUGGCCAUGACUGAAACACAUCAAGUCCAAGACAACGAGACUCUUGUUAGCCUGUGGGAGAAGCGAAUGUACUGGGUGCCGGCCUACUUCAUGCAGUGCUUCUUCCCCUUUUUGCAGACUACGCAGCGCAGCGAGGGGUUCAAUACUGUUUUGAAGCGGUACGUCAGCCCUGGCAACUCAUUGCUACAGUUUGCCAAGCAGUACACAGCUUUGCAACAAAAAAUUCUGGCAUCUGAGCUACAGCAAGAAGCGAACACCGCGCUAAAGCAGCCAAAAUUGCUAACAUACUUACCGAUGGAGAGGCAAAUGAGCAAUAUAUACACCAACAAGAUCUUUAACAAGUAA
rnacentral:rRNA from 1 species